rnacentral:rRNA from 1 species
AGCGUUGUUCGGAAUUACUGGGCGUAAAGCGCGUGCAGGCGGCCGACUAAGUCAGGUGUGAAAGCCCGGGGCUCACCUCCGGAAGUGCGCUUGAAACUAGUCGGCUAGAGUACGGGAGAGGGAAGCGGAAUUCCUGGUGUAGCGGUGAAAUGCGUAGAUAUCAGGAGGAACACCGGCGGCGAAGGCGGCUUCCUGGACCGAUACUGACGCUGAGACGCGAAAGCGUGGGGAGCAAACAGG